rnacentral:sRNA from 1 species
AUUUAACUCAGAUGCUGAACGUGAAGGAUAACGUUGCGUCAGCAACGGCCCGAAGGGCGAGGCGAAGUCGAGUCAUCCUGCACGACCCACCA